rnacentral:lncRNA from 1 species
UAUGAGGAGGGACCUACAAAGACUGGAAACUAUUCUUAGCUCCGUCACUGACUCCAAGUUCAUCCCCUCUGUCUUUCAGUUUGGUGAGAUAUAGGCUACUCUUCCCAACUCAGUCUUGAAGAGUAUCACCAACUGCCUCAUGUGUGGUGACCUUCACUGUCGUAUGCCAGUGACUCAUCUGGAGUAAUCUCAACAACGAGUUACCAAUACUUGCUCUUGAUUGAUAAACAGAAUGGGGUUUUGGAUCUUAGCAAUUCUCACAAUUCUCAUGUAUUCCACAGCAGCAAAGUUUAUAAACAAUCAUGGGGCCUGGAAAAUGAGGCUUUAAUUGUAAGAUGUCCUAGACAAGGAAAACCUAGUUACACCGUGGAUUGGUAUUACUCACAAACAAACAAAAGUAUUCCCACUCAGGAAAGAAAUCGUGUGUUUGCCUCAGGCCAACUUCUGAAGUUUCUACCAGCUGCAGUUGCUGAUUCUGGUAUUUAUACCUGUAUUGUCAGAAGCCCACAUUCAAUAGGACUGGAUAUGCGAAUGUCACCAUAUAUAAAAAACAAUCAGAUUGCAAUGUUCCAGAUUAUUUGAUGUAUUCAACAGUAUCUGGAUCAGAAAAAAAUUCCAAAAUUUAUUGUCCUACCAUUGACCUCUACAACUGGACAGCACCUCUUGAGUGGUUUAAGAUUGUCAGGCUCUUCAAGGAUCAAGGUACAGGGCGCACAAGUCAUUUUUGGUCAUUGAUAAUGUGAUGACUGAGGACGCAGGUGAUUACACCUGUAAAUUUAUACACAAUGAAAAUGGAGCCAAUUAUAGUGUGACGGCGACCAGGUCCUUCACGGUCAAGGUGAGCAAGGCUUUUCUCUGUUUCCAGUAAUCGGAGCCCCUGCACAAAAUGAAAUAAAGGAAGUGGAAAUUGGUA